rnacentral:rRNA from 1 species
GUGGGGAAUCUUAGACAAUGGGCGCAAGCCUGAUCUAGCCAUGCCGCGUGAGUGAUGAAGGCCCUAGGGUUGUAAAGCUCUUUCAGCUGGGAAGAUAAUGACGGUACCAGCAGAAGAAGCCCCGGCUAACUCCGUGCCAGCAGCCGCGGUAAUACGGAGGGGGCUAGCGUUGUUCGGAAUUACUGGGCGUAAAGCGCACGUAGGCGGACUGGAAAGUCAGGGGUGAAAUCCCGGGGCUCAACCCCGGAACUGCCUUUGAAACUCCCAGUCUUGAGUUCGAGAGAGGUGAGUGGAAUUCCGAGUGUAGAGGUGAAAUUCGUAGAUAUUCGGAGGAACACCAGUGGCGAAGGCGGCUCACUGGCUCGAUACUGACGCUGAGGUGCGAAAGCGUGGGGAGCAAACAGGAUUAGAAACCCCAGUAGUCC